GAUGAACGCUGGCGGCGUGCCUAACACAUGCAAGUCGAACGGGUGUGGUAUCAGGGAAAAGGGGUUUACUUCUUUGACCAGAUAACACACUAGUGGCGGACGGGUGAGUAACGCGUGGAUAACCUGCCUUAUACAGGGGGAUAACAGGGAGAAAUUCUUGCUAAUACCCCAUAGGUAUGUCUGACGCAUGUUGGACAUAUUAAAGCUUUGGCGGUAUAAGAUGGGUCCGCGUCUGAUUAGCUAGUUGGUGGGUAAAGGCCCACCAAGGCGACGAUCAGUAGCCGGCUUGAGAGAGUGGACGGCCACAUUGGGACUGAGACACGGCCCAAACUCCUACGGGAGGCAGCAGUGGGGAAUAUUGCACAAUGGGGGAAACCCUGAUGCAGCGACGCCGCGUGAAGGAAGAAGGUCUUCGGAUCGUAAACUUCUAUCAGCAGGGAAGAAGGAAGUGACAGUACCUGAGUAAGAAGCCCCGGUAACUACGUGCCAGCAGCCGCGGUAAGGUAGUA
rnacentral:rRNA from 1 species